rnacentral:SRP_RNA from 1 species
CCGUACUACACGGGGAGUUAGCGGUGCCUUGUAACCUGCAAUCCGCUAUAGCAGGGUGGAUGCCCAAUGGAGGGUUUGCAAUCGGUCGGUCUGACUGCGGUAAGUAGUGUUGACAGACGGGUCUUGCGCAACGAAAACCCAUGAACCUCGUCAGGUCCGGGAGGAAGCAGCGAUAAGUGGUCCCUUUCGUGUGCCGCGAGGGUGCCUGUCUCGAGCCAACUGCCCCGGUUCCGCGACGGAGCGCCGAUUCGACAUUGGGUGUACGG